GACAUGUUAGUUUAAUGGUUAGAAUAAUGUGCUACGGACACAUUGAUAUAAGUUCGAGUCUUAUACAUGUUA
rnacentral:tRNA from 2 species